AGCGAACGCUGGCGGCAGGCUUAACACAUGCAAGUCGAGCGGGCAUCUUCGGAUGUCAGCGGCAGACGGGUGAGUAACACGUGGGAACGUACCCUUCGGUUCGGAACAACUCUGGGAAACUGGAGCUAAUACCGGAUACGCCCUUAUGGGGAAAGGUUUACUGCCGAAGGAUCGGCCCGCGUCUGAUUAGCUAGUUGGUGGGGUAACGGCCUACCAAGGCGACGAUCAGUAGCUGGUCUGAGAGGAUGAUCAGCCACACUGGGUCUGAGACACGGCCCAGACUCCUACGGGAGGCAGCAGUGGGGAAUAUUGGACAAUGGGCGCAAGCCUGAUCCAGCCAUGCCGCGUGAGUGAUGAAGGCCUUAGGGUUGUAAAGCUCUUUUGUCCGGGACGAUAAUGACGGUACCGGAAGAAUAAGCCCCGGCUAACUUCGUG
rnacentral:rRNA from 1 species